AGCAGCCGCGGUAAUUCCAGCUCCAAUAGCGUAUAUUAAAGUUGCUGCAGUUAAAAAGCUCGUAGUUGAAUUUCGGGGUUAGUAGGUUGGUCAUGCCUCUGGUAUGUACUGGUCUCACUGAUUCCUCCUUCCUGAUGAACCUUAAUGCCAUUAAUUUGGUGUUUUGGGGAAUUUGGACUGUUACUUUGAAAAAAUUAGAGUGUUUAAAGCAAGCUAACGCUUGAAUACAUUAGCAUGGAAUAAUGAAAUAGGACGUUCGAUCCUAUUUUGUUGGUUUCUAGGAUUGACGUAAUGAUUAAUAGGGAUAGUUGGGGGCAUUAGUAUUCAAUUGUCAGAGGUGAAAUUCUUGGAUUUAUUGAAGACUAACUACUGCGAAAGCAUUUGCCAAGGAUGUUUUCAUUAAUCAAGAACGAAAGUUAGGGGAUCGAAGACGAUCAGAUACCGUCGUAGUCUUAACCAUAAACUAUGCCGACUAGGGAUCGGAUGAUGUUAAUUUUUAAUGACUCAUUCGGCGCCUUAC
rnacentral:rRNA from 1 species